UACGGAGGAUGCAAGCGUUAUCCGGAUUCAUUGGGUUUAAAGGGUGCGUAGGCGGACUAUUAAGUCAGUGGUGAAAGCCUGCAGCUUAACUGCAGAACUGCCAUUGAUACUGAUAGUCUUGAGUUUGGUUAAGGUAGGCGGAAUGUGUAAUGUAGCGGUGAAAUGCUUAGAUAUUACACAGAACACCGAUUGCGUAGGCAGCUUACUGAGCCGACACUGACGCUGAGGCACGAAAGCGUGGGGAUCGAACAGGA
rnacentral:rRNA from 1 species